CGCGGUAGCCUGACUGUGCGAAGGUAGCAUAAUAAGUAGUCUUUUAAUUGUAGGCUUGUAUGAAUGGUUUGACGUGGGAAACGCUGUCUUUAAUAUAAGUGCUGAAUUUAACUUUUAAGUGAAAAGGCUUAAAUAUAUUGAAGGGACGAUAAGACCCUAUAAAACUUUAUAAAGGUGAGUUGAUCUUCAAUUUGAAGGUUUUAAUUAGAUUAGGUUUUAUUUAUUUCGUUGGGGCGACGAAGAUAGGUUAAAGAAGCUGUCUGUGUAUAUUGAAUAGAUAUUUUUAAGUUUUGAUGACCUUUUAUUAAGGAUAAAAAGAUUAAGUUACUUUAGGGAUAACAGCAUAAUUUUCUUUGAGAGUACAUAUCGACAAGAGUAGUUGUGACCUCGAUGUUGAAUUAAAGUUUCAUUAAGGUGCAGGAG
rnacentral:rRNA from 1 species